GUAUAUAUAUGAUCGAUCCAAAUAUUAUAACAUGUUUUCAUCAUACAUAUAUAACAAGUCUAGAUACAUGAAGGGUCAUGAUUCGAUAUCCUAAUUAAACGACCUCCAUAAAAUAAAAUAAAAUAAAAUAAAAAUAGUACUUUGGAGGAACGAAGGUAUUCGGAUGAUCAAUCUGAAUGUUGAUCUUAAUCGUCGUACGUACGGCACUCAUCGGUCUCUGGGUUGUCCUUGCAGUAAGUCUCCAAGGGGUCGGCGUCUUUCGCCUUGUCUCUGGCAUGGCUAGAAGCGGCACUCAGCUCUUCCACUUCAUCCCACGCCGCCACACACUCACCGCUGACAGGGUCAUCUGCACAUGACUCCUUGGCGUUCUCGAUGCUGGAGGCUAUCUUUUCCGACAAACUUUCAGGUGCCGCCCUCACCGGCAUCAAAUACAUCCUUCCUGAGCUCAUCAUCCUUGUAGUUGUAGGCAUCUUCACCCAUGAGGAGACCUUCGGUGAGUCUGAUGAUGGGCUGGCCAAAACCCGAGGGAUUGAAAGACUAACACCAGCCAUUGUUGCCAUUGUUUAUGGGUUUCUUUGAUGCAAACUACCAA
rnacentral:lncRNA from 1 species